rnacentral:rRNA from 1 species
AUGGAGGACGCCAUCGACCUCGACCUCGACGCCGCCGCCGGCCUCGCCUCCCUCGCCUCGUCCGGCGCCGCCGCCCACUCCGGGAAAGGCAAGCCUCGUGCCCCGCGCAAGACCGCCGCGGCGACCAAGCCGAAGAAGGCGCUGACGCUCGAACAGCGGGCAAGGGAGUCGGCCAAGAGGAAGGGCCGGAGGCACGCCGCGGACGCGAGGGAUGAGGCCACUACGCAGGCCGCCGCCGCCGCCGCGCAGCAGGAGUUCACCAACGCCCGCGUCGCCGCUGCAAUGAGGCAGGUGCUUUACAUGCUUGGGGCCUCCCGCCUCUCCGGGGAGUGCUCACCCGACGUGAGCGUGGUCGCGCCUUCCACACCCACGCCCGCGCCCAUCGACCUCAACACCACCCCGGUGGUCGGUGCCUCGUCGUCCGGCGGCGCGAGGAAACACACGCGACAGACGCCGGCCGGCGGUCUCCCGGACGCCCGCAACCUGUUCGAGGAAAUGCCGUCCGCCGUCGACGAGGACUACAUGCAACACCUCAUCUUCGAGGGUGGUGCGCCGGGCGCUGGAUAUGAUCCUGAGGAGACGCAAAGCCAGGACGGCCGCGGGGCGUUCACGCCGGCCGCUGGCUAUGAUCCCGAUCAGGCGGCCUUCAUGCGUGAUCAGGUCGGCUUCGACCUGGAUGGCUUCCCCCUUGACCACGAGUUCCCGGACGACUAUGGGAUAGAGGAAGAGGAUGAGUGCGACAUCGAACGCGUGUUUCAUGAGCGCAAGAAGUUUCCACCCUACCAAUUUGUGAGCACGCGCGGGUGGGUCUCCAUUUCCAAGCGGUGGAGGGUAAUCCAACAAGAGUGCAACAAGUUUUGUGCCACCCUUGAGAGCGUCAAGGCCCGCCCCGUGAGCGGCAUCGGCGUGCAAGACAUGGCAUUUCAAGCUUUGGAGGCAUUCAAGGUUCAACACAAUGGCAAGUGCUUCAACCUCUCCCAUUGCUAUCGUGUCAUCAAGGACGAAGAGAAGUUCAAGGCACAAUAUGCCGCGCUCAAGGCACGUGGGGGGAAGGGCGCCGUGGAGGAUGUUGGGGAGGGCAAGCCGGCACGACCACGGGGGAAGACCAACUCCAAGAAGGAGGACAAGCGAGAUGCGGCCACCAACGCCUUGAUUGCAAGCGUAGACGGCAUGAUGAAUAAUAAGGACUCAAGGGAGGAGGAGCGUCGGCGUUUCACAGAAGAGCAAAUGAGCGCUUUCAUGGAGAUCCAAAGGAGGAGGCUUGAGCUUGACGCCGAGAAGCAAGCCAAGAUGUUCGAGCUCGAGGCUGAGAAGCAAGCGAAGAUGCUAGAGAUCGACGCCGCCAACACCAAGACAAAGGCGAAAGAAGUGGCUCUUGCAAGCAUGAUGACUGGGGUGGAGAUCAUGAAGGUGGAUCUCAACGCCUUGUCGCCAAGGAAAAGGCUGUGGUUCGAGAAGAUUAUUCUUGUUACAUUCAAAUUAUGGAUGCUACUAGAACAAGGUGCGCAAUCUCCCAAUACUUUGAAGAUUCCGAGGAGCGAGAUCAGUGACUGCAUAAAAGAAGAUCUUGCACAAAGACUUCCCAAGCCAAGGAUUCUUCUCUUGCAAGAGCGCAUCAUCGACAUCGCAGCAACCACGCUUAUCGAAGAACUUGAGGUCAAGGCACUGGAAGGCGAUCUUGACGACAUCCAUAGUUUUAAUGAGCAUGUAUCCUAUCUCGAGGUGGCAGAGCUUUGGCAUGUUGCUUCCAAUAGCAUGGGCCUCGUGAUUCUGGCACACCUUCCCAACGACAUCUAUGGUGUGUAUGACUUGCUGAUGUAUGACGAGGAAUUUCUAUUUCUUGCCAGAUGCAUCCAGAGCACGGGCACCAAUGUUGGUGCACCUGCUUACAUCCAGGAAUGUAACCCUAUACGGUCUUUGUGCAACAUCUUCCACUAUGCAGUCGCUGAUCUCACUCCUCGGAAUCUCGAAAGUAUUGCGAGAUUGCACACUUUCAAAAGUAAACAUGGUGGGGUGCGCAAUCUUACUUUGGAGAUUCCGAGGAGCAAGAUCGGUGACUGCAGAGAAGAUCUUGCACAAAGACUUCCCAAGAACUGCGAAACCCUCGUCAUACUUCAGCAGGUCGUGCACCCAAUUGAUGUCAUUGGGAAGGAUCUGGUACCAUGUCGCAACAUUUCUCACUAUCAGAAAACAGAUCUUGGAUUACUUGAAAAGAUUCUCCUGUGCGCAAUCUCUCAACAGUUUGUAGAUUAUGAGAACUGCACCAAGAUUGGCGCCCGUGCUCUAGAGGCAUUUGGCAAGAACUGCAAAAUCCUCGUCAGACUUUGGCGAGUACUGCACCCUAUAGAUGUCGCUGGGAAGGUGUGGCAGAAUGACGAGGCCCAUGCUACUGCCAGCAAAAUGCCAAAGCUCUGCAACCUCGAGAUAGGAAACAUGCUCAUUAAGACUAGAGUUGUUGUCAAGAUCGCCUCCGAGUGCCAUCACCUCAAGUUCUUAGAUGUGCGUGGUUGUUGGGACGUCGAUGAUAAGCUCUUGCAAGAGAAAUAUCUUGGGAUAAAAACCCUCGGCCCCCAUGUGGAGACUGCUAUGAGAAUCGCAUACAUUCAUGAAGGCCCCGAAGCCUCCUUCAGGAAUGUGUGCAUGUUCAUGACGUGGAUGUUAAAGCCGAAGCAAAAGGUGGUUACGUUACUGACGACUGACGUUCGCGAUAAUAAUGUUCAAGAAUGA